rnacentral:tRNA from 1 species
GUUUUGGCUCAGUGGUAGAGUGCUCGCCUAGCACGUGUUAGGCCCUGGGUUUGAUCCUCAGCAUUACG